rnacentral:rRNA from 1 species
AUUCCAGCUCCAAUAGCGUAUAUUAAAGUUGUUGCGGUUAAAAAGCUCGUAGUUGGAUUUCUGCUGAGGACGACUGGUCCGCCCCCUGGGUGAGCAUCUGGUUCGGCCUGGGCAUCUUCUUGGGGAACGUAUCUGCACUUGAUUGUGUGGUGCGGUAUCCAGGACUUUUACUUUGAGGAAAUUAGAGUGUUUCAAGCAGGCCCGCGCCUUGAAUACAUUAGCAUGGAAUAAUAAGAUAGGACCUCGGUUCUAUUUUGUUGGUUUAUACACUUAGAGAAUGAUUAACAGGGACAGUUGGGGGUAUUCAUAUUUACAUGUCAGAGGUGAAAUUCUCAGACCAGCGGAAGACGAACCACUGCGAAAGCAUUUGCCAGGGAUGUUUUCGUCA